ensembl:lncRNA LINC00943 long intergenic non-protein coding RNA 943
ACAGAGACUGAAAAUAAGAAAGGGGUGAGGCCUAAGGGACAAUCAGGAUGUUUUUCAGAGAGAAGUGUGGAUGCUGGACAGGAAGAACCACAGAUACCAGAUACGGCUGCGUAUCUUCUGGAUACGGAAGGAUCACACUGCACAGAGUGCUGGACUUGCAGGAGCCCCGCUUCUCAACCUCCAUCGCUUUAUGAAUGAAUUCACCAGAAAGAAAAGGAAGAAUCAACACUUUCAGAGAUGGAGCCUGUUGAGCCACAGUACCAACUAGUCAAUGCUGAAUCGACUUCUCCCUUUCUACAUUGCCUGAGAGAAGUCAUUGGGGAAUACUCUAGAGUCAAGGGAUUGGAUUGUGGAUUGCAUUGGUGGUUUUCCUCAGUUUCCUCAUCUUCUCCACAAGUUUCUACAUAUCGAAUGCAGAGCAGCCCUUCUUCAAAGGACCUCCUACGGAAGCUGCUAAGGAACUCAGUCUGUAGCUCUGCGUGGAGCCAUGUGUAAACACUGAACUGAGACCUGCCACCUCCUACUACCUAAGGGCCCAUUUUCAUCUGAUAUCAUCCCCCAGAAACAAACUCAUGAUGACUUCCAUGUUUUUUUUAGAUUAGAUACAUGGAGAAUUUUCCUUUCCCUUAGAAUUAAAAUCCUGCAUUCUA